AGCACUAUUUUUAAACCUGUUGGUGGAGUUCUCUGACCACCGUGGGUUACGCUGUAGUGCAAAAGAAUCUCCUGGCUCUUAAAGAGCUUCGCUGACCUUGCUCUGUUCAGCUGAUGCUCCUCUGAAGCUAAGGAACAGAA
rnacentral:snoRNA from 1 species